rnacentral:rRNA from 1 species
CGUUUACACUCCUACGGGAGGCAGCAGUGGGGAAUAUUGCACAAUGGGCGCAAGCCUGAUGCAGCCAUGCCGCGUGUAUGAAGAAGGCCUUCGGGUUGUAAAGUACUUUCAGCAGUGAGGAAGGCGGAGUCGUUAAUAGCGGCCUCGUUUGACGUUAGCUGCAGAAGAAGCACCGGCUAACUCCGUGCCAGCAGCCGCGGUAAUACGGAGGGUGCGAGCGUUAAUCGGAAUUACUGGGCGUAAAGCGCAUGCAGGUGGUUUGUUAAGUCAGAUGUGAAAGCCCGGGGCUCAACCUCGGAAUUGCAUUUGAAACUGGCAGACUAGAGUACUGUAGAGGGGGUAGAAUUUCAGGUGUAGCGGUGAAAUGCGUAGAGAUCUGAAGGAAUACCGGUGGCGAAGGCGGCCCCCUGGACAGAUACUGACACUCAGAUGCGAAAGCGUGGGGAGCAAACAGGAUUAGAUACCCUGGUAG